rnacentral:lncRNA from 1 species
ACUGGAACAACUUACCAAGGGUCAUGGGAGAUUCUUCAUCACUGACAACUUUUAAAUCUAGGUAUCCUUGGGAGUGGAGAGGCCAUCUCUUGAGCCAGCUGAAGACCAAAUGGAGGGGUCUCCCAGGGGAUUAAGUAGACUUUCUCUUGUGAGUGGAAACCACCUCCUCUUUCCUAUGCAAAGUCCAGCUCCAAGAUGGAAUUUUGGAUUACACGGGCAAGUCACAUGUCCAUGCAUGACUCAGUUUUUACUGGUGGCAGCCAUCACUUGCCUGCUACCUUGAACAUUCUCAUGUAGACUUCUUAUGUGGAUUGGAGCCUCCCAAGAUCCAUUGUCCUUUAAGUGCUUCUUGACUGGGCACUUAAUUUGCACAUUGCUUUCUCAAGAAGCUGACCAAAUGCUUUACAAAGGCUACAUAAAAAUCAAGCAAGUAUACAGCCAAUAUUCCUAACUUCAAGUACAAAAAUGAUACAUGCAUAUAAAUAGGAGGAAUGUAUUCAGUAGAUCAGAACCUUUACAUAGAUGUUACAUGGCAUAUGUAGCAUAAAACAUGUUCCAGUUAUAUCAUAUAUACAUUCAUAAGCAUAUUCCCAUGAAGCCCUAUAGGGUACACCGUCACAACAGCAGUACAGUAGAACCUCAGCAUUACAGACACUUUGGAAAUGGAGGUUGUUCAUAACUCUGAACAAAAUAUUAUGGUUGUUCUUUCAAAAGUUUACAACUGAACAUGGACUUAAUACAGCUUUGAAACUUUACUAUGCAGAAGAAAAAUGCUACUUUCCCUUUAUUGUUUUAGUAAUUUAUGUUUAACACAGUAUUGUUCUGUAUUUGUGUGUGUGGGUGUUUCUGCUGCUGUCUGAUUGCAUACUUCCUGUUCCAAAUGAGGUGUGUGGUUGACUAGUCAAUUCAUAACUCUGGUGUUCGUAACUCUGAGGUUCUACUGUAGCUUAACAGACAGGUGCCACAAGGUUCUACACUAGGACUGGGGAUGUUUGAUGCUAAUUGGACAUCUUGGAGACUAUCCAUCAGUUGACUGCUAUAUUCAGGGGAAAAGAAUCCAGAGAUUGCCUCCAAAAAAGGGCUCCCUGGCACAACAAAACCACUGGCAGGCUUUGGGAAGAGACGAGUCAAUCAGCCCAGCAAUUAUACUGGAAAUGAACCCCAGGCUUCUGGAUUUGUCAAUGCCACUAUGUCAUAAGUCAAUGAUGUAUCUUUGAACACUGUGCCCACCGAACAGCAAGGAGAGAAGGUACUUCUAGUGGAAUCUUUUCUUUGAAUGCAACUGUUAAGCUGUUUUUGAGAGUUAAAAUCCCUGUUAAACGUUCCCUUCUCUGAACUCUAUGUUGCUUCGGGUCUGUCUCACUGCAGAGUUAACUUGAAUUGUCUACAUUCGAGUUACUCCUCUCAAGUUAGACUAGCUUAAGUGAGAUUGGCUACUUUGUAAAAUAACCAUAACACUUGCGUUCCUGGGUCCAUGUGGGUGCUGCAUUCCACUCAUGUGUGGUGGUAGGACUUCUGGGAGCAGAACCCAGGUUCUCAGCAGUGCAGAGAGUUGAACCACAUGAAUUCUUUCCCAGUGAAUUGUGGGAGAACUUGUCUGUCUUUUCUGGGCACACGCAGUGAGCUGUGGGAAGGCACUGAAGGACUGACUGCGUUUGAGUGGAGCUAACCUGCAUCUGCUAUUCAGAGUGAUCAUACUAGCAGCUGAUGCGUUGUGCUCACUUGAGCUUUAGUGCAUACCCUCUCUUGGGCCAGUCACAUUGAGUUAAAAGCACUGUUGCACUCCCAUUUAGGGUUUUUGUGUUUUGAUGGGACUUGAUUUAGGGACAACGCUUCAAUUAUAACUCGAGUUAAUUUUGCAGAGAAGACAAGCCCUUGGGUACCAAGGUGAUAGGUGCCUUAUAAAUGGCACAGCUAGUGGAAAAUAGCUAGAGAUGUGACUCAGAAAUCCUGCCUGGGGCCUCACUCGAACUGACAGCAAAGGUGGAUCCUCUUACUGAAAUUAAGCGGUUUAAUGUUUGGUGUAUAAACAGAGAGAUUGGGACAGCCUCCCUCACCCUUAUUAGGUUUCAGAUCAAGUCCUUGGGGGGAUGGUGGUUACUCUGCUUGUUGCCCUAUAACUGACUGACCAUAGCUGUCAUCUCUCACAGCUGGUAAACAGCCUUGUGCUUCAAUGCCAAGAGGUGGGCUUUAGGAACUGCCAGUUUUUUUUUUUUCAGACUCUAACAGGCUCAGCCUUACUCUGUUGGAUCCUUCUUCCUAAAUGCUGAUAAUUGCUCCAGAAAGGAUAAGGUACAUUCCUUAGCCUGCCACCCCUGCUGCUCUAAUGCCCUCUCCUGCUCCCUCAGAAAGGCACAGGAAAUUUCACUUUGAAAUUAUUUAAAUGCUACUGAUAUUUUCAGAUAAUUCCACUGAUUAGGCAAAUAGUUGAGACCGUUCCCAAUGUUUGCGCCAAACUGUGGGAUAUAUCUACAACCAACAGUAUUCAGGCUGCUCUGUGGUGAACUGUGCACCUUAAUUUCCUAUGGGCAAUUAAUGAAACACAAAAUUUGGGUUGACUUUUCUAACACAGUAUGUUGUCACUUGUCGUAAUAGCCUGUGGUUGUCACUGUUAUAACAGUGUCACUGGCAUUGUGUGUGUGUCUGUUUGAAUGUAUCAAUCAGAUUUUAACACACACAUCCAGGUCCUAAACACCAGGCAGUUCUUUAUACUUGCUGUUCUAUAAAUAUUGUGAGCAAUGACCUUUAUCUGAAAUAAAAUAAGAUUCCUGGCAAUGCUUUUUUAUUUC